UCUAGGGAAUGGCAACGAGCUGUAAGGUGCCCGAUCUGCAUGGAUUUUUUUUCACAGAUUAUACGAAGUGUCCGACAGGUUGUGUCAACCCAGUGUGGCCAUCUCUUCUGCAGUCGGUGCAUCGCUGUUGCCCUUGAGAAUUCCAGGGCUUGCCCAACCUGCAGAACAGAACUCCCUCCCAGAGACUAUCAUCCCGUUUAUUUCUGAGUAUUUCUGUUUCUCAGGACAGAAGUAUCCCCCCCAAUCAGAUGGAUUUUCGGGGGUAGGUGGCAGAAAGACUUUUUUCUUCAUGUACAUAGUUCUUGUUGUAUACAGUUCCAUUUUUCCUGAGUUUAAUUAUAAAUAAACUAUUAAUUUAUUUAAAUA